GCGGCAGCAGCAGCGGCCCCUGGAGCAGGGCGCCUGAGCUGAGCCCCCCGGCCGGCGCGGCGGCCGCGAGGCGGCAUGGAGCAGGCGGGCCGCGGAGGCGGAGGCAGCGGCAGCGGCAGGCAGCCGGCGAGGCGCUGAGCUGGGCCCUGAGCCGCAGCCGGGCUCGGGGGCCCCUCGGCCAUUCCGGGCGCCCGGCCGGGAGCGCUGUUCCUGGGCCCAGAAGGAUAGAGAAUGAAAUCUGCCUCCAUCUCAAAAGGAUUAGGAUGAUGAUCCCCCAAGCCUUUCCCUUUUCUCCAGCCUGAUAGUCUCAACCCGAGGACCCAGUCCUAACACUAAUCUGACCAGAGUCCUGUACAAUUUCCUAGGUAAGCUGAAAUGAUUAGAUACACCACAGAAACCUUCAACCCAGGAAAAUUUCUUUGCCAGUCUUU
rnacentral:lncRNA from 1 species